rnacentral:rRNA from 1 species
UACGUAGGGGGCUAGCGUUGUCCGGAAUCAUUGGGCGUAAAGAGCGCGUAGGCGGCCAGAUAAGUCCGGUGUGAAGGUCAAAGGCUCAACCUUUGAAUGCCGCUGGAAACUGUCUGGCUAGAGUCCGGGAGGGGCGAGUGGAAUUCCUGGUGUAGCGGUGAAAUGCGCAGAUAUCAGGAAGAACACCCGUGGCGAAGGCGGUUCUCUGGGACGGUACUGACGCUGAGGCGCGAAAGCGUGGGGAGCAAACAGG